AACCUAGUUGAUCCUGCCAGUUACAUAUGCUUGUCUUAAAUAUUAACCCAUGCAUGUGCCAGUUCGGUAUUAAACAGCGAAACUGCGAAUGGCUCAUUAAAACAGUUAUAGUUUAUUUGAUAAUUAAGGAUUACAUGGAUAACCGAGCUAAUUGUUGGGCUAAUACAUGCUUAAAAUCCGUGUCCGCGACCGG
rnacentral:rRNA from 1 species